rnacentral:rRNA from 1 species
UACAGAGGUGGCAAGCGUUGCUCGGUAUCACUGGGCUUAAAGGGCGCGUAGGCGGUGCGGUACGGUUUCGGUGAAAUCCCUCGGCCCAACCGAGGAACAGCCGGGGCUACGGCCGUGCUAGACGGCAUCAGGGGACAGUGGAACUUCCGGUGGAGCGGUGAAAUGCGUAGAUAUCGGAAGGAACGCCGGUGGCGAAAGCGACUGUCUGGGGUGCCUGUGACGCUGAGGCGCGAAAGCCAGGGGAGCAAACGGG